rnacentral:rRNA from 1 species
UACGGAGGGUGCAAGCGUUGUCCGGAAUCAUUGGGCGUAAAGAGCGCGUAGGCGGUCCGGUAAGUCCGCUCUGAAAGUCCGGGGCUCAACCCCGGGAGGCGGGCGGAUACUGUCGGGCUAGAGUCCGGAAGAGGCGAGUGGAAUUCCUGGUGUAGCGGUGAAAUGCGCAGAUAUCAGGAGGAACACCAAUGGCGAAGGCAGCUCGCUGGGACGGUACUGACGCUGAGGCGCGAAAGCGUGGGGAGCAAACAGG